UUUCUGCAACACACUUAGAAAGCAGGAAGGAGACGUUACAAAGCUUGACAGGGACGUUCCUCAUUCUCCGACUGCUCUUCAUAUCUGCAGCUGCUAAGUGAAGCUAACGCAGCGCAGAGUUGAGAUAAAUCCCAGCUGACGCCUUUAUCUGCUGCGCCGUCCCGCUCCGAGGGUUCAGUCCUGAUUAGAAACCUCAGACACAUCCAGGUGUGAGAAAAACCUCUAGAGUCUCAUUCUGCUUCACAUGCGGCUACUUAUCACAUGUGAACACAUAUUUCCCACAUGUGCACCACUUAUGAUCUGAUUUUCUACAUGUGAACAUCAAUAUGUGAAAAAUCCCAUUAACUUCACAUGAAAAUCAUCUAAAUGAACAUGUGAUGAAGACAUUUUCACAUGUGAAUGAUGUGAUUCACAUGGUUUCUCCUGUAUCACAGGUGUGACACCUGCUGUCACUGCAGAGUUUAUUAGAAAAGAGAAACAGAAAGAUUCCCGUUUAAUUUCUGAUCCGUUGGAUCUGAGCCGACGCUCUGCGUUUCCCGUACAGAAACAGAACGGAGCUGCGGCGGCGCGGAGCUGCAGCACAGACUGCAUCUCUGCAGCCAUGUUUCUGAGACUCUGAAAGGAUGUGACCCGAAUCGCUGUGGAAACUUUCAAACACGUAGUCGGGUCAGAGGGAGCAGCAGCUCUGCAGCCAACUGGAGAAUCAGAAACUAUUUCAGCCCUUCAGGCUGAACGAUACAUGAUCGCUUCACUCUACAGCCGUAACUGAUUUACUCCCUGCAGUCUUUUGUUGCCUCCUUUAUGUUAUACUCAUUUUCUUUUUUUUUUACCCCUCCAUGGGUAAUGUCGUCGGAUCCGGGAGUCGAACCCACGACAGCCGUCGAGGACUCAAGGCCUCCAAACAUGGGUCGCGCCAUCCCCUACGCCACCACGACAUGCCCAUCCGAUUUUUAAUAUCUCAUGUAUUCAUGCAUGUUUGUUUUUUCUUUAUGGUUUUAUUGGCUACUGGAUGCUCAAAUUUCCACCAGUUAAAUAAAAUAUCUAUCUAGCUACCUUGCUGGCUAGAUUGAUAGAUUCAACAUAAAAUACUGCAACCACAGUAGACAGAAACCAAAGGGAAAAUUCCCCUGAUUGCAAAAAGUAUGAAAAGCUGCCAAACAGAAGUCCUCCAGGCCACCAGAGGGCGCCGACCGUCAGUAAGGAUUGGAUGUCAUGAUGUCAAAAGGAAAGCAUGAGGGGGUUUUUUGCAGUAAAAUAGAACAGCAGCAUAUUUACAAAUGUAAUAUAAGCUUCCAUUUUAUAGAGCAUUUUAUUCUUGUUUCCAUUUGAACCAUUUUACCAUUUUCUUCCGUCUUUUGUGGUUGCAGCUUUUUUGUUUUUUUGUUUUGGAGUUUCGUGUGUUUCAGUGUGUGUUUGUGUGUGUGUUUUGGUGUGUGUGUGUGUGUUUGCAGCCUUUAGGCCGUCCUGAAGCAGCUCCAUUAGGAAACACCAAGCUGCUGUCGUGAUGGAAUGAGUUGAGUUCUAACUCACUGCUGCUUUGAGUCCAGGCAGAAAUGUAAAGUGCAGAUGAUCAGCGGUCUGGUCCAGGGAAGCGUUUCCCAGCUGGAAUAGAGUCAGCAUGCUGCUGAACAGCUGUCUGCGAUGUUUGGUGAAAGUUGCCAGAGAUAAAAGUGUCUCCAGGUUUCGGAUGGUUGGUGAAACUAACUGACUGCAUAAAGAGAAACAAUCAGGCUGCAGCUUCGUAAACUCCAGCAGUUUGGCUUCAUUCUGCUGAUGUUCGAACCAGAUGAUGGAGGAACAUCAGCGUUUGUCUUCAGAUCCAUAUCUUAGCAGCGUUAUUAUCAACAGUAGGUUGAGAGACUUUUGGGUUUGUUCUGGUUCAUUUGAUCUGCAGUAAACAGUCAUCAACGUGAUGAAACCUCCAACAUGGC